rnacentral:rRNA from 1 species
AUUGAACGCUGGCGGCAUGCUUUACACAUGCAAGUCGAACGGUAACAGGUUAAGCUGACGAGUGGCGAACGGGUGAGUAAUGCAUCGGAACGUGCCCGAUCGUGGGGGAUAACGCAGCGAAAGCUGCGCUAAUACCGCAUACGAUCUGAGGAUGAAAGCGGGGGACCGUAAGGCCUCGCGCGAUCGGAGCGGCCGAUGUCAGAUUAGGUAGUUGGUGGGGUAAAGGCCCACCAAGCCGACGAUCUGUAGCUGGUCUGAGAGGACGACAAGCCAACCUGGGUCUGAGAAAGGGCCCAGAAUCCUACGGGAGGCAGCAGUGGGGAAGUUUAGACAAUGGGGCCAAGCCUGAUCCGGCAAUGCCGCGUGAAGGAAGAAGGCCUUCGGGUUGUGAACUGCUUAUGUACGGAACGAAAAGGCUCUGGUUAAUACCUGGGGCUCAUGACGGUACCGUAAGAAUAAGCACCGGCUAACUACGUGCCAGCAGCCGCCGUAAGAC